rnacentral:rRNA from 1 species
GACGAACGCUGGCGGCGUGCUUAACACAUGCAAGUCGAACGGAAAGGCCCUGCGUUUGUGGGGUGCUCGAGUGGCGAACGGGUGAGUAACACGUGAGUAACCUGCCCUUGACUUUGGGAUAACUUCAGGAAACUGGGGCUAAUACCGGAUAGGAGCUCCUGCUGCAUGGUGGGGGUUGGAAAGUUUCGGCGGUUGGGGAUGGACUCGCGGCUUAUCAGCUUGUUGGUGGGGUAGUGGCUUACCAAGGCUUUGACGGGUAGCCGGCCUGAGAGGGUGACCGGCCACAUUGGGACUGAGAUACGGCCCAGACUCCUACGGGAGGCAGCAGUGGGGAAUAUUGCACAAUGGGCGGAAGCCUGAUGCAGCAACGCCGCGUGCGGGAUGACGGCCUUCGGGUUGUAAACCGCUUUCGCCUGUGACGAAGCGUGAGUGGCGGUAAUGGGUAAAGAAGCACCGGCUAACUACGUG